rnacentral:rRNA from 1 species
UACGGGGGGAGCAAGCGUUGUUCGGAUUUACUGGGCGUAAAGGGCGCGUAGGCGGCCACCGCAAGUCGACUGUGAAAUCUCCGGGCUUAACCCGGAACGGUCAGCCGAUACUGCGGGGCUAGAGUGCAGAAGGGGCAACUGGAAUUCUCGGUGUAGCGGUGAAAUGCGUAGAUAUCGAGAGGAACACCUGCGGCGAAGGCGGGUUGCUGGGCCGAUACUGACGCUGAGGAGCGAAAGCGUGGGGAGCGAACAGG